AUGUACACGUACGUACAGCGGCAGUGUGCAAGAAAGAAAAUAUGGCCACGUACGUACAUAUGGGCUGGGUCUCGAACGCCUACUCACGCAUACGUACGGCCAGGGCUUGUGUACAUGGCUGGGUCGGAAUGGAGAAACUGCGUCGUCGUCGUGUUCAUGGGGAGCCAACUGGCUGGGUCAGAACGGAAUGCGUCGUCGUGUUCAUCGGAAGGGCUUGGACGGAACAACCGUUGGAAACGAGGCCUGGCGUACCGCAGAACGGAGGAAACGACCUUGUGUUCGACCGGCCACGGUCGAAACGGGAUCCUGUUCAUCGGGAGGGGUCUGGCGUACCGCAAAACAGAGGAAACGAACUUCUGUUGGACCUCCUACGUUCGAAACGGGGUCCUGUUGAUCGGGAGGGCUGUGGUCUACCGCAAAACGGAGGAAACGGACUUGUUUUGGAGCGCUACGGUCGAAACAGGGGUCCUGUUCAUCAGGAGGGGUGUGGCGUACCACAGAACAGGACUCCACGGGAUACUGUUCGUCUCCACCGUCGACCCCCUCAAGCCUCCACGGGCUACUGUUCAUCCAUCGUCGACCUCCUCCAGCCUCCACCUGCGACUGUUCAUCCACGGGGUCCUGUUCAUCCAGCCUCCACCGCGCGCUACUCCACCGGCUACUAUUCAACCGACCUCUCCACGGGCUCCUGUUCAACCACCCCUCCAUGGGUUACUGUUCAUCCAACCUCCACGGGGUCGUCCUGUACAUCCAGCCCUCCACGGGGUCCUGUUCAUCCAGCCCCAACCAGCUCGAUCGAUCGGGGUCCUGUUCAUCCAGAGGCAACACCACGGGGUCCUGUUCAUCCACCCCCACCGGGAACUGUUCAUCCAACCCCCCAGCAAUGCUCACUGUUCAUCCAGAGGUAGCAUCGAUCGGCUUCAGUUACCAGCAGCAGCGAAGGAAUCGCUCGAUCGGGUUCAGUUAACAGCCAUCGAUCGAUCGCUCGGGUUCAGUAACGCGUAG
rnacentral:rRNA from 1 species